rnacentral:rRNA from 1 species
AUUGAACGCUGGCGGCAGGCCUAACACAUGCAAGUCGAACGAGUGGCGGACGGGUGAGUAAUGUCUGGGAAACUGCCUGAUGGAGGGGGAUAACUACUGGAACCGGUAGCUAAUACCGCAUACCAUCGGAUGUGCCCAGAUGGGAUUAGCUAGUAGGUGGGGUAAAGGCUCACCUAGGCGACGCUCCCUAGCUGGUCUGAGCGGAUGCCCAGCCAGACUGGAAUUGAGACACGGUACAGACUCUUACGGGAGGAAGCAGUGGGGAAUAUUGCACAAUGGGCGCAAGCCUGAUGCAGCCAUGCGGCGUGUAUGAAGAAGGCAUUCGGGUUGUAAAGUACUUUCAGCGGGGAGGCUUUACCCGCAGAAGAAGCACCGGCUAACUCCGUGUCAGCAGCUGCGGUAAUUG